CCUGAAAGAUACAUCAAGACCUCUAAAAGCAAGCCAUUCAAAUCCAUCUAAUAGCGUGUAAUCCAUUACAAAAAUUCAGUGAUCUAUCCACAUUUAACAGCAUGGAAGAAGUGUUCAUGUUGGUAGAAUAACCAAUAAAUAGAACAAAAAUCAUAGUCCUGGUCUAAGAUGUUUCCUGAGCAGGUAAAGAAGCUAAAUCUGGUGGAUAAAUUACUAUUCCCCAAAUAAUUUGCUCAGCACUAAUUAGACACCAUAGAGUAACAUGCUACUGGGGAAAGUGAUGGAUCACUGCAAGACUGUCACGAUCCCUUCCAGCUACAGAUAGAUAUAUGAAGAUAAACAUACAGGUAUAUGACCAGGAGGCCUGGUCAGGGACACCAACACCUUCUGAUGCUUGGAAACCUGGGGCCAUCGUAGCUCUGUGCAAGUACAAAUGACCUUCUCCUCAUUAAACCUUGGCUUAGUGGGCAGUGAGCUGAGCAUAAGGUGGAAGCAUUCUUGCAGCAAGGAAGAUUGGUGGUAUCCAGGCUGCCAAAAGAGCAGGCAGCACAAGCAGCAGAUUGAGGGCAGGAUUUAUCAGACUCUGCUUGGCACUCACUAGACCUUAUCAGAAAUCCUGUGUUCAAUUGUGGGACCUUUAUACAAGAUGCUGACAAACUGGACAAAGUUCAGAGAGGAGCACUGAGAUGGUUGGUGACAAUCUGCAAGCAGCAGCUGCAGGGCUGAGGCUUUUUGAGCCUGAAGCAGAUAGCUUCAAGGGCAGUUAAUUGCAUCCUCCAGUAUCCCAUAGGAAAGGGGUGGAAAAGAUGGAAGUGGAUUACCACAGGAGACCAUAGAGGAGGGCAAGAGGCAAAAGAUAACUGAACAGGAAAUUCCUGAUGGAUGUUAGGAACAGACUCUGAAGGUAAGUCAAGAGUCAGAGCAGGUUGGAGAGAGAGGUUGUGCAGUCCAGCCUUGGAAACUCUCAAGACAACCUGGCGCAAUCUCACGUCUGACCUUCUUUCAAGCAAGAGAUUGGACCAGAGACCUCCCUACAUCCCUUCCAGCCGGAAUAACUCAGUGCUGCUACAGAAGUCAUUAUGUUCAAUUUCUGAGGUUCAUAUUAGCCUGUAUACAAGGGUGAAGUUCCAAGCUCCAGAGAUUCACUUACUGGUCUAGUUUCCUGUGAUAGGGCAGUAUAUGCCUCUUUUUUUAUUAAUUACAAUUAUCUGUGUUACCUGUUUCUGCUAUUUGAUCAUUUCAUCUGACAUAGAAUACUUAUAAACAUUUCCAAAUAACUAACUGGAUUAGUAUAUGCAAAAUGCAGGAAUAUUUGUGCACCUGUGAAUACAAGUAAGCUGAAAUCUGGUCAGAAAAAGUUCAGAAGACAUUAGUGGAAGAGCUGUUAUGCAAGAAAAUUACAAACUUGCUGAUCAUUAUUGUGAUAUUCCUAAAUUCUGGAUAUGCAAGUUAUGUUAAAUUUCAGAAUUCCAACACCAUAGCAUGCUAUAAAGUCAAGCUGGCUAACUUGACAUUAAGUCAACACUUAAAUGUAAUUUAUGAUAAUAACGUGCUUUAAAAAAAAAAUGGACAGGGUAAGUAAUCUAGCUCUAA